AGAAGGAUUGCGAGCGAAAGCAAAUGCGACAAGGCUCGUCUGAAAAGUAGCCCUGCCAUCUCAAGCAUGAAAUAAAUCUCAUAAUAUCAGCGGAGCAUCAGCCGAGCAGUCGCAUACAAUCAAGAAAAAAAAAGAAGUGAUAAUAAGAACAUACUACGAGCUAAUAAAGGUGGACUCUAGUCUGUGUGAAGUUUCUUACCCAUGUCUGGAAGAUGCGUUCAAGGACUUUGAGCUACUGUCUCGCUGCCUGCACUGCAGCUGGUCCGCUGAUGAUAUGCGCAACUUGUCUCCGGCCCCCGUAUAUCAAUCUCAACUCGCUGUUCUGUUCCCCCCAACAAUGGACAGACCCGCUGAUGACUGCGAGUGCAACCUUAAAGAAACAAUGUCGCUUUUCAAUGAACUUCAAGGCGCAGAAAUAAUGAGGAGGCCGGGGGUCCUUAAACUUGCGGACAUUUACUAAGUUCAUUGUUGACGCUCAUCUGCAUACAGACGUGCGCACACGCAGAGAAGAAUACAUUUUUCUUCUUCUCGUUUGUGUGGGGACAAACAGUGGUUAGCUAAGACCUUUUUGUCUUAAAAGUCAAAAUGCCAACAUGUCCAGGCAAAUGAGGAAUGAGUCGUACAUCAUGUUGAGUCGAGCUUGUUGUUUCAGACGCCGUAGGUCUACGACCUCUGAUUGAGAUAACACUGGCUAUCAUGGUGUUGCCCUUUUAGCGUUCAGGUGAUAGUCUUACAGGAAAUUGACAGAUAUCAUCUGUUUGCAGUGAGAUACACUUUACCAUGACUGAAGUGGCAUCCCAGCAACCCAAAUAAACAGUGUCACGGAUUUUUAACCUCUUUUGGAAUGUUCCGAAAGGAAAACUAUAAACAUGUGCACACUUAUGAGAGAUGUUUAUUUUUUAGCGAUCUAACAAGAUAGAGUUUCAAUUAUUCCCUUUCGUUUUGUAAUAUGCGAUCACUUAUCUGUCACGCCAGCUCUCUUUUUUUGCAACAUAGUCAUCAAAUGUUCAGCAUAAGAAGAAGAAAAGGAAACAUGACUAAGAUAAAAAUGUCCUUUUUGUGUACAUCAAGGAAACAUCCCUGAUCCCAGGGCACCUGACUGUGUCGGAGUGAGAGACUGUGCUCUGAUUCAUCUCCCCCCUCUGGCCUAAUACCAGAAAUAUAAAAACAAAAU